GUAGGGUGCGAGCGUUAUCCGGAAUCAUUGGGCGUAAAGAGCUCGUAGGCGGUUCAGCAAGUCGGCUGUGAAAUUCCGAGGCUCAACCUCGGAACUGCAGUCGAUACUGUUGUGACUCGAGUCCGGUAGAGGAGAAUGGAAUUCCCGGUGUAGCGGUGAAAUGCGCAGAUAUCGGGAGGAACACCAGUAGCGAAGGCGGUUCUCUGGGCCGGCACUGACGCUGAGGUGCGAAAGCGUGGGGGUAGCAAACAGGAUUAGAUACCCUGGUAGUCCACGCCGUAAACGUUGGAUACUAGGUGUGGGGUUCCGACCAACGGUCCCCCCCCCGUGCCGAAGCUAACGCAUUAAGUAUCCCCGCCUGGGGAGUACGGCCGCAAGGCUA
rnacentral:rRNA from 1 species